CAGCUCAACGACUUGGCCUGCUCUGCCCGGCUCAGCCCGGACCAGUAUGGACGCGGCCGCCCUCCCGGCAACACACGCCCUUGCUCCUGCUCCUGCUGCUGCCCCAGUGCCUCCUCACCUCCUGUCUCUCUCUCUCGCUCUGACGCUUCUCCCCGCCGCGCUCGCUCUGGCCACGGGGCCAUUAUGUCAGUGCACGUCUGUGCCCAGGGAUUUCUGCUGGUGACACGCUCGGGCAAGCAACCACGGUGGUGCGACACUGUUGGCGGCCAGCUGAGUAGACUGUUGUGACAGUGUCCUGUUCGUCAAGAGGGGAGGUCCGCCCCCCAAGUGUGUCCCUCGCGCCUGCCGGCGUCGACUCUUCCCCGCGGGGAGCUGCUGACCAGAAAGGUCCCCCUGACCAGCCGGUCCACCCUCCGCCCGUGCCCCGACGCGCGCUUUGAGUGGUCGGGCACAUGACUAGUCCAUCAUCAUGGACUCGCAAACCUACCUGGAACAAUUUUGCGGCGGCAAGUUUUGGGACGCCAACCUAACGUGGUACACCGAGUCGCCCGACUUCACGGACUGCUUCCACCGGACGACCAUCCUCUGGGUGCCCUUCGCCCUGCUAUGGCUCCUCAGCGGCGUGGAGGCCAUCUUCCUGCUCAACAGCAAGAAGCGCAGCGUGCCCUACACGUGGCUCAACGUGCUC